rnacentral:lncRNA from 1 species
UUUCGUUUAUUCGUUUUUCCCUUCAUCUUCUCUUUUGCUCUCCUUCCUCCUCCCCCUUCUUCUUCUUCCUCCGAAUUCGAGCGGAGGACAGAGGCGGCGGCGACCGUGUGGAUGGGGCUUAGCAGGCGGCGGCAUCGACGGGACGGGGAGGGAUCGAGGAGUCGGCUCGCCACCUCGCAUUCGCGACCUUCAAAUGCAAGCUAUGAGUAAAUUUCCUAGAAACAUGCACCUGGGGAGAACAUUGAUGAGGUUCCUUGUUCAAAUUUCUACUGUCUACUACUGCUUAAAAGUUAAAACCUUCAGUAGGUAUGUCUUUCCAACCAACAUCAUUAAAUGCGAUGCUCCAGUUUGGUUAUGUUGGCUUGGCAAUUCUGUGAU